UGUAGCUCAGUGGUAGAGCUUGUGCUUAAUUAGCAUCAAGGCCCUGGGUUCAAACCCCAGCA
rnacentral:tRNA from 1 species